UUAGAGUCAGAGCAAUCCAGUAUGACUUUGUAGGAGUUGAGCGAAAAUGCUAGUUUUAUAAGUGUUAAAACCAUUAAUUUUCCAAUUGCUUUUCUCUGAUGAUCCGGAUGCACAAUGACUUCUUCUAUGUGUCCGCAAAUUCCUUUUCCACGUAAAAACUUUCGCUCCAAGAAUAAUGUGGCCGUACCAAUCUAAAUAUUAGUAAUAGGUAAAAAAUACAGGGUAAAGAUGCUGCGUCUGUCAAGGGAUUAAUGCCUUGCAAACAGGACAGCUCAUAUUAGUGUGGACAUACGACAUGAUGAGAUUCAAGAUCCUCCACUACGAUAAUGUAGUAUGUUGAAUGAAAGUCUUUCUUCAUUUCCAUGAAAAGGUUUUGGUAUGCACCGAGGAGUGGGCGGCUAGAAGCGGCUGCCAAAGUGUCUAGCAGAUCCAAAUAUUCUAAUAAAACCAAAAUUGUUAGUAAUGCUUGCCGAACUGAAAAGGAAAACUAAAACACAAUACCAUCGUCUAUAUCACUUAGACGUAGAGGGCGGAUGCAGUAUGAAAGUUGGCUUGCAUCCUCAACUACGCCGGAAACGGCGUCUUCAACCAUCGAAGGAGGAAAUAAAAACUCGCUUAAGUUAGGAUAAUUUUCACCAACAUCUUUUAACUUAAUAUUAGCUCGAAUUUUGCUCACGACAGACGGAUAAUAUCCCACAAAUGGACCAGUUUCCAGAAAAGCGAACAAGGGUGCAAUAAACAGUGACUGGAUUAAAUUAUCCAGGAGCGCAGGUUUUCUCUUUUCAAAUACCCCAUGUCCAAUAAAUUGUAAAAUCCAACAUAUCACAUGAACGACUGCGGCACUUCGAUUGACUAGGCUUCUGGAGAAGAUUGUAAAUAGCUUGGAUGGCAAGAUAUAGGAAAACAAGUAAAGUACCGGAGAAUAAAGGAGACCAUCUAAUGGAUCUAAAGUUACAUAAAAAAUCUGAUAAGCUAGCCCAACUAGAUGAGCAACAUUUAUUUGAAGCUUCGAGUUUAUCAAUGUUAUUACAAAAUUAUGUAACAAAACUAAGGCAGUCAACAAUAAUAAUGGAAUGCAAACUUCUAAGUUAGUUUAACCAGUUUAUCUGAAAAAUCUAUCUCACCUUGAUGGAUUUUUAUAUUGACGGGAUUGGAAUGGUAAGCGGCG